rnacentral:misc_RNA from 1 species
AACGCACAUUGCGCCCUUUGGCAUUCCGAGGGGCAUGCCCGUUCGAGCGUCAUUAAAUCCAAUCAAGCCUGGCUUGGUGUUGGGCGUCGGGGGUCCCCCGCGCCUCAAUUUCACCGGCUGGCCGUCGCCCGUCUUAGCGUUGUGACACAUUUCGCUACCGAAGGGAUCGGACCACGCCGUCAAAACCGCACGAAUUUCCACCAGAAGUUCGAUUGAGGUUGACCUCGGAUCGGGUAGGAAUACCCGCUGAACUUAA